rnacentral:misc_RNA from 1 species
GAUGAAGAACGUAGCGAAAUGCGAUAAGUAGUGUGAAUUGCAGAAUUCAGUGAAUCAUCGAAUCUUUGAACGCGCAUUGCGCCCCUUGGUAUUCCAUGGGGCAUGCCUGUUCGAGCGUCAUUUGUACCUUCAAGCUUUGCUUGGUGUUGGGUGUUUGUCCCUCGGGACUCGCCUUAAAGUCAUUGGCAGCCAGUGUUUUGGUUUUGAAGCGCAGCACAAGUCGCGAUUCAAGGCUAUCCGCCCGCUUCCACAAGCCUUUUUCACUUUUGACCUCGGAUCAGGUAGGGAUACCCGCUGAACUUAAGCAUAUCAAUAAGCGGAGGA